rnacentral:rRNA from 1 species
GUGGGGAAUCUUAGACAAUGGGGGCAACCCUGAUCCAGCAAUGCCGCGUGCAGGAAGAAGGCCUUCGGGUUGUAAACUGCUUUUGUACGGAACGAAACGGUCUGGGUUAAUACCCUGGGCUAAUGACGGUACCGUAAGAAUAAGCACCGGCUAACUACGUGCCAGCAGCCGCGGUAAUACGUAGGGUGCGAGCGUUAAUCGGAAUUACUGGGCGUAAAGCGUGCGCAGGCGGUUUUGUAAGACAGGCGUGAAAUCCCCGGGCUCAACCUGGGAAUGGCGCUUGUGACUGCAAAGCUGGAGUGCGGCAGAGGGGGAUGGAAUUCCGCGUGUAGCAGUGAAAUGCGUAGAUAUGCGGAGGAACACCGAUGGCGAAGGCAAUCCCCUGGGCCUGCACUGACGCUCAUGCACGAAAGCGUGGGGAGCAAACAGGAUUAGAAACCCCGGUAGUCC